rnacentral:rRNA from 1 species
UACGUAGGGGGCAAGCGUUGUCCGGAAUCAUUGGGCGUAAAGAGCGUGUAGGCGGCCCGAUAAGUCCGCUGUGAAAGUCCAGGGCUCAACCCUGGGAUGCCGGUGGAUACUGUCGGGCUCGAGUCCGGAAGAGGAGUGUGGAAUUCCUGGUGUAGCGGUGAAAUGCGCAGAUAUCAGGAGGAACACCGGUGGCGAAGGCGGGUCUCUGGGCCGAAAUUGACGCUGAGGAGCGAAAGCGUGGGGAGCAAACAGG